CGGAGUGUAAAUCGCUAAGGAAGGCGAGCAGGUCUGUAAAACCUGUGUCAUUGCGACUUGAGUGGGUUCAAUUCCCUCUACUCCGA
rnacentral:tRNA from 2 species